rnacentral:rRNA from 1 species
AAAAACAUCUUUUCUUGUUAGUUUUUGAAGUAUGGCCUGCCCACUGACUGUUAAGUUGAAGGGCCGCGGUAUUUUGACCGUGCAAAGGUAGCAUAAUCAUUAGUUCUUUAAUUGUGAUCUGGUAUGAAUGGCUUGACGAGACAUAAGCUGUCUUAGAGGCAUUGGUUUAUUGAAUUUGGGGUUUGAGUUAAAAUUCUUAAAUGUUUUUAUGGGACGAGAAGACCCUAUAGAGUUUGACAGUUUCCUUAUUUGUUUGUUGUUUGUUUAUUUUGACGUUGAGUAGGAAUAAUUGUUUUGUUGGGGUGAUGGGAGGAAAUUAUUUAACUCCUCUUUGUUUUUGUAUAUUUAUGUAUAUUUUUUUGAUCCAUUUAUUUUGAUUAUAAGAUUAAAUUACCUUAGGGAUAACAGCGUUAUCUUCCUUGAGAGUUCUUAUUGGCGGGGAGGUUUGCGACCUCGAUGUUGGAUUAAGGUGAAUUUUCGGUGCAGGAGCUGAAAGUGAUUAGGUCUGUUCGACCUUUAAAAUCUUACGUGAUCUGAGUUCA